CUAUUGUCAAAGCAGCAAUUUCGACUGACACAGCAACGCUCAUCUGAAUGGCAUCUGUCAAUGUCGUCAACUACUCGGACAUUAAUGUCUGGAUACAAAUUGGGUAGAUCUUGUAUGCCAUGCCCAACAUCAGAAUAGCUGGAAUGUACAGACUAAAAAAGCUCGGAAGCGCUUGCACUCUUUGGAGAAUUUUGUAUGGGCAUUUUCAGGCUGUUCUGGUGACACUAAAAAAUACUGGCUCUCCUGUAAUCGAGAGUAGAUGUAAGCAUGAAAUGGCUGCCGACAAAGCAGAUUGAUUGUAGGUGGUACUAGCCACAAUCUUAAAAUGGGUGUAGCGCACAUUCGCAAUGGCACACCCCACCCCACUGCAUCACGCAACUGUACACUGGUCCAUAUGGAAGCAAGUUUCCUGUCAAAGACAGAACCCCAUUGCAAGUCUCGUCUCGGUCCACCAUAUGUGCCGUGGACCUCGCGGACUGCUGGCAUUGAAAAGAGCACAAGCAACUGUGUCUCAGUGCCAAAAAAUGACAAUCAAGUGUACAGUGCCUUGUAUCUGCCUCUGAACGUCGCUAUUAG
rnacentral:lncRNA from 1 species